UGCACACAUGACUGUAAGUUUCUUUUGAUAAAAGCAUCUGCUAAAUGGAAUAUA
rfam:Salmo salar isolate Sally breed double haploid chromosome ssa03, whole genome shotgun sequence.